AUUGAACGCUGGCGGCAGGCCUAACACAUGCAAGUCGAGCGAGCGGCGGACGGGUGAGUAAUGUAUGGGGACUGCCCGAUAGAGGGGGAUAACUACUGGAAACGGUGGCUAAUACCGCAUACUUUCGGAUAACCCAUAUGGGAUUAGCUAGUAGGUGGGGUAAAGGGUCACCUAGGCGACGAUCUCUAGCUGGUCUGAGAGGAUGAUGAGCAAAACGGGGAAGGAGACACGGGGCAGAGGGCGACGGAGGCAGCAGGGGGGAAGAUGGGACAAUGGGGGGAAGGCUGAAGAAGAAAUGCAGCGUGUAUGAAGAAGGGCGGAGGGUUGUAAAGUAAUGUCAGCGGGGAGGCGUUACCCGCAGAAGAAGCACCGGCGAACUCCGUGCCAGCAGCCGGGGUAAUAC
rnacentral:rRNA from 1 species